rnacentral:rRNA from 1 species
UGCAGAAUCCCGCGAACCAUCGAGUCUUUGAACGCAAGUUGCGCCCGAGGCCAUUCGGUCGAGGGCACGCCUGCCUGGGCGUCACGCAAAACACGCUCCCACCCCCUCAUCGGGGAGCGGGACGCGGCAUGUGGCCCCCCGUCGCGCAAGGGGCGGUGGGCCGAAGAUAUGGCUGCCGGCGUAUCGUGCUGGACACAGCGCGUGGUGGGCGACCUCGCUUUACUUCCGCAGUGCAUCUGGCGCGUAGCCGACAUGAUGGCCUUGAAGGACCCUAUGAACGGUGCGCACGACGCUCCGACCGCGACCCCAGGUCAGGCGGGACUACCCGCUGAAUUUAAGCAUAUAAAUAAGCGGAGGAGAAGAAACUUACAAGGAUUCCCCUAGUAACGGCGAGCGAACCGGGAACAGCCCAGCUUGAGAAUCGGGUGGCCGUGCUAUCCGA